AUCCCAGAUAAAGCUGGACACUUAGUCGUGCUUAUCUGAUUCAUGGAAGGCGAACACAGAUCCAGUGGAAAGUUUCGCUGAUAAACACCUUUCAGUAAUUUCCAAGAGGGCGUUUACUAGUAGCUUUACCAUACAUUC